GACGAACGCUGGCGGCGUGCCUAAUACAUGCAAGUAGAACGCUGAAGGAGGAGCUUGCUUCUCUGGAUGAGUUGCGAACGGGUGAGUAACGCGUAGGUAACCUGCCUGGUAGCGGGGGAUAACUAUUGGAAACGAUAGCUAAUACCGCAUAAUAGUAGAUGUUGCAUGACAUUUGCUUAAAAGGUGCAAUUGCAUAACUACCAGAUGGACCUGCGUUGUAUUAGCUCGUUGGUGGGGUAACGGCUCACCAAGGGGACGAUACAUAGCCGACCUGAGAGGGGGAUCGGCCCCACUGGGACUGAGAAACGGCCCAGACUCCUACGGGAGGAAGAAGUAGGGAAUCUUCGGCAAUGGACGGAAGUCUGACCGAGCAACGCCGCGUGAGUGAAGAAGGUUUUCGGAUCGUAAAGCUCUGUUGUAAGAGAAGAACGAGUGUGAGAGUGGAAAGUUCACACUGUGACGGUAUCUUACAAGAAAGGGCCGGCUAACUACGU
rnacentral:rRNA from 1 species